rnacentral:lncRNA from 1 species
CUCAUUUAUAAAGUGAUGAAAAGAAAUCAUUGCAAGUGCUGCUAAAUGAUUGAAGAUGACUUCAGGGACACGUUGAGCUUGCUCUCUGCUGCAGAAUAAUAGACAAAUGCCAGAAGGAUCCCUGAGAGAGCAGUCAUGGAAGAGAGCCCGAAAUGGAAAGAAGCAGUGCUGUGUAGCUGUUUCUUCCAGUUUGAAACAUUCCUUUGGAGAAGGAAGAGGGAGGCUUAUAAGACUCAAGAAGAAACGUGAGGCCUUUACAGUAUCAGACGUUUAAGAAAGUUAUGACCCACCGGGCUUCUUCUCAAGAUUGUUGGUCUCUGAGCCUUGGAGAGGGAUUUCGACAUAAAUAUUCCAUUGGAGACUGAGCAGGCACUCCGAUGUACCUUGAAUGAUU